CAUAAAGAUAUACUGCUUUAUGAGACAUGGACGAGUUUGCCAGAAUAGUUACCAACUAACACCUUGAAUUUACAACAGCCCUGAUGGGUCAAGUAUCGUUGCUGGAAACAUUAGGAAGAAAUCGUGCCAGGGCCUCUCUCCCUCACUCGGCUUGUUGAUUUCACUUCAGAGGAGAAAAGAGUUAUAACGUUCGCGCCUUUGUCCUUCAUGCAAAAUAAACACAAAUUUAUUGAUUUAUGGCCAAUAAAAGCACAGGGAACAUCAUUAGAAUCAUGUUGAGAAAAAGUUUGAUUCCAAGUCAUUCGACAUGUAGUUCAAAGUUCAAGGGCAUAAAAAGGACACCAUGCUGUUUGGUUUACCGUCAUUAAUGCUAAAAUUAACAAAGAAAAAGUUCUCUUCUUUUACCGCUUACUGAUGGUGAUCCAACUCAUUGCACCUUUCUCGUUUUCAUGAAUAUUCAUGAAAAAUAGUAUUCAUCAUUUUUAAUCCUACAGCAAGAAAGGAAAAAAACUUAAAAUGUUUGGAGGUACAUGUAAAAUUAAAACGAAGUCAACGUCAUGAGAACAGGAAGUUGACGAAAGAUGCAUAUACGCAUAUGUAUUAUCGUGUUUGGUGAAAUUCCCUUCACGAAAGUUUGAAGGAGCCAGUCAAAUUGCAGUAUGAAUUACUAGUCAAUAAGCGAAUAA